CGCUGCCAAAUUUUUGCCCCCCCAGUGGAGGGUUAUGAAACACGUAUGUUGUGCGGCAGCGAUGCUGAGACAUUGUAGAAUCUCUGACCAGAGCAGUUGCGCUCGACUCGCAGUAGCGAGCAGUCAGUCAGUCUGCAGUAGUCAGUCCGCAGUAGUGCUUGGAGUCGGUUGCUAGCAGUAGCGGAGAGCAGUCGGCGGGCGUCGGCACCGCAAUGGUCGAGAUACAGGAUAAGCACUUCUUCGGCGACUCGCGGCGGCUGGUGUUCCCUAGCAGAUGCCUGCAAGCCACAUCAAAUGCCGCACUCAGCUUCCAACACUGCACGGACUGCUUCAGAGGUCGUCGGAAUAGACGACGACAAAAGAGUCGUCAACGAAGAAGCAAGACAAGAAUGAAUGUGUAUAAACGGUUCUGUAAGAUGUCUUCACUUCGAUUCAGUGUAUGUUUCCACUCAAAACGCAUGUCUGUAGUUUGUUACGAAAUAAAUGUUCACUGUUAUACGUA